rnacentral:tRNA from 1 species
GCGGGCGUGGUGGAAUUGGUAGACACGCCGGCCUUAGGAGCCGGUGCCGCAAGGCGUGGGGGUUCGAGUCCCUCCGCCCGCA